GAUGAACGCUAGCGGCAGGCCUAACACAUGCAAGUCGAGGGGUAGAAGCUUUCGGGCUUUGAGACCGGCGCACGGGUGCGUAACGCGUAUGCAAUCUGCCUUGUACUGAGGGAUAGCCCAGAGAAAUUUGGAUUAACACCUCAUAGUAUUUUAGUGUGGCAUCACAUUAUUAUUAAAGGUUACGGUACAAGAUGAGCAUGCGUCCCAUUAGCUAGUUGGUAUGGUAACGGCAUACCAAGGCUACGAUGGGUAGGGGACCUGAGAGGGAGAUCCCCCAAACUGGAACUGAGACACGGACCAGCCUCCUACGGGAGGCAGCAGUGAGGAAUAUGGGUCAAUGGUCGCAAGACUGAACCAGCCAUGCCGCGUGCAGGAUGAAGCAUCUAUGGUGUGUAAACUGCUUUUGUACGGGAAGAAACACCGCUACGUGUAGCGGCUUGACGGUACCGUAAGAAUAAGGAUCGGCUAACUCCGUGCCAGCCGCCGCCGUAACAC
rnacentral:rRNA from 1 species